rnacentral:rRNA from 1 species
UACAGGGGGUGCAAGCGUUACUCGGAAUUAUUGGGCGUAAAGCGCGUGUAGGCGGUUUACUAAGUCUGGUGUGAAAUCCCUGGUCUCAAGCCAGGAAGUGCAUCGGAUACUGGUAGACUUGAGUGCAGGAGGGGGUGGCGGAAUUCCUGGUGUAGAGGUGAAAUUCGUAGAUAUCAGGAGGAACAACAGUGGCGAAGGCGGCCACCUGGACUGUAACUGACGCUUAGACGCGAAAGCGCGGGGAGCAAACAGG